AUUGAACGCUGGCGGCAGGCCUAACACAUGCAAGUCGAGCGAGCGGCGGAUGGGUGAGUCAUGUAGGGGGACUGCCCGAUAGAGGGGGAUAAAUAAUGGAAACGGUAAAUAAUACAGCAUACUAUCAGAUUACCCACAGGGGAUUAGCUAGUUGGUGAGGUAAGGGCUCACCAGGGCGGCGAUCCCUCGCUUGUCUGAGAGGAUGAUCAGCCACACUGUGACUGAGCUACGGCCCAGAGUCCUAUGGAGGCAGCAGUGGGGAAUAUUGCACAAUGAGCGGGAGCCAUGUGCAGCCAUGCCGCGUGUAUGAAGAAGGCCCUAGGGUUGUAAAGUACAUUCAGUCGGGAGGCGUUACCAACAGAAGAAGCACCGGCUAAGUCCGUGCCAGCAGCCGCGGUAAUUC
rnacentral:rRNA from 1 species